UAGAAAAACAGGUAUCGAACCUGCACCUAAGGGCCCAAAACCCUCUGCACUCCCAAUUAUACUAUUUCCU
rnacentral:tRNA from 1 species